UGUAAUGGCAGAAGGAGUGUUAUCGGACACCCCUCCCCUGCAGUUGGAAGCCACUACUCACUUCAGAAAGCUAUUGUCAAUUGAGCGCUGCCCUCCCAUCGAUGAGGUGAUAAAAGUAGGUGUUGUUUCUUGCUUUGUGGAGUUCCUGGAUAGGCAUGAUCUGCCUCAGCUCCAAUUUGAAGCGGCUUGGGCAUUAACAAAUAUUGUGUCUGGGACAUCAGAACA
rnacentral:misc_RNA from 1 species